AAUGAACGUUGGCGGCGUGGAUUAGGCAUGCGAGUCGCGCGAGAAUGUAGCAAUACAGGAAAGCGGCGAAAGGGAGAGGACAACAUGGGAAUCUGCCCCGGGGGCGAGGAUAGCGUCGGGAAACUGACGGUAAUACUCGAUAAUGUCUGCGGACCAAAGGUGUGAUUCCGCCCCGGGAUGAGCUCAUGCCCCAUUAGCUAGUUGGCGGUGUAAUAGACCACCAAGGCGAUGAUGGGUAGCUGGUGUGAGAGCACGACCAGCCUCACUGGCACUGAGACACUGGCCAGACAUCUACGGGUGGCAG
rnacentral:rRNA from 1 species